rnacentral:rRNA from 1 species
GGUUACCUGCGGAAGGAUCAUUACUGAGAAUGCUCUCCGGAGCCCUCAAAUCUUGCGUACCCAUCUUGUACUUGCGGGUGGCCCCCGGGCGCCCGCGAGGAUUCAAACUGUUUGACUUUGUCUGAUUCUUACAAAGAAAACAACUUUCAACAAUGGAUCUCUUGGCUCCGGCAUCGAUGAAGAACGCAGCGAAAUGCGAUAGCUAGUGUGAAUUGCAGAUUUUAGUGAAUCAUCGAGUCUUUGAACGCACAUUGCGCCCUUUGGUAUUCCUCAGGGCAUGCCUAUUCGAGCGUCGUUUCGACCCAGCGCAAGCUGCUUUGGGAGAUCCCGCUUGGGAUUCCUUAAAAUCAUCGGCGGCAGCAGCGAGCCAAACGCAGCAGAUUGCGCGCACCUCGCGGCCGUCGCCGUAAAACCGCUGCCUAGCAGCUCACAGCUCGACCUCGAAUUAGGUAGGGAUACCCGCUGAACUUAAGCAUAUCAAUAGCCGGAGGAAGGAUCGGGACUGAGGAUGCUCUCGGAGCCCUCAAAUCUUGCGUACCAUCGUGUACUUGCGGGUGGCCCCGGGCGCGCUGGAAUUCAAACUGGUUUGACUUUGUCUGAUUCUUACAAAGAAAAACAACUUUCAUCAAUGGAUCUCUUGGCUCCGCAUCAAGAAAAACACACGAAAUGCGAUAGCUAGUGUGAAUUGCAAAUAUUAG